rnacentral:lncRNA from 1 species
AAUAGACCCCGCCGGGGCCGCAAUGGGUUAGCAGCCCAGUGUGGCAGUAGCACAGGCUUAUUAAGCUAUGUGCUACACCCUACCAAGCUACUAAACGAUAUAAUGGAAAAAUACCCCUAGAGUCAGCGAGAGCAGGGGCGGAAGAUGACUCACCUAUGAUGGACACAGGUAAUGACCCUGGAACGAAUUUGACUAUGAGUAAGGAGGGCAUGUCGAUGGAAGCCGUUAGUUCAAAUUUAACUGAGAAGAAGCUGCAGGUGUGUGUGUGUGGCUGGCAGAAGGUUACUACUAUGAGGGGCCUAAGAAUCCAUCAAGGUAGAAUGAAGUGCUUGGUAGAGGGAACACAGGGAACCCGCAUUGAUAGCUACUUCUUAAGAAGUGUAUUGAGUCAGUCGGUUGAAGUCCAGCGACAGGAAGUAACCCACAGUUCGCAGGACAUCAGCACCCCUGAUGUUGUGGUAGAGUCAAGCGCUGAGGCCGAAAGGGAGGCCAGCCAACCAAGGAGGGAAAAGAUGAGCGGCCAUAAGCCUGGGGUUAGGUGGCCAGGCGCAGCAGAAGGUAGGACUUGGGAAGUUGUUGAUAGCGAUCUGGUUAGCAUUCUGGGACGGCUUAAAGGGACGGCUGAAAGCAAAUUAGAGAAAAUGGGGGACAUUAUCUACAGUUACGGUCAAGAAAGAUUUGGGAUUGUUGAGAAAAGGACGAAACGGCAACAUGAGGUAGUUAAGUCUAGGCGCCAGCAAGAGAUAGAUAGACUCAUCCAGGAGAGGAGGCAGCUUAAGAAGCAGUGGAGAAAAGCUACAGAUAACGAGAAGGAAGGUAUUGAUUGUCUACAGGCAGCUGUGAGGGAGCGGUUGGCAGUGCUAAGAAGAGCAGAAAAUUUUAGGAAAAAUAGGAAGAAGAAAUCGCGAGCUAGAGUAGCAUUUUAUAAAGAUCCAUUUAAAUUUGUUAAGUCAUUAUUUGAUAGGCAGAAGAGUGGUUGUCUUAUGGAACCUAAGCAGAAGCUUGAGGAGUACUUGGAGGGAGUGCACAAAGAUAGGGAGAGGUUCAGAGAGAUGGUGCUUCCAGCAGAU